rnacentral:rRNA from 1 species
UACAAAGGGGGCUAGCGUUGCUCGGAAUCACUGGGCGUAAAGGGCGCGUAGGCGGGCUCUUAAGUCAGGGGUGAAAGCCCAAGGCUCAACCUUGGAAUUGCCUUUGAUACUGAGGGCCUUGAGACCGGAAGAGGUCGGCGGAACUGCGAGUGUAGAGGUGAAAUUCGUAGAUAUUGGGAGGAACACCAGUGGCGAAGGCGGCUCACUGGACCGGUACUGACGCUGAUGCGCGAAAGCGUGGGGAGCAAACGGG